GAUGAACGCUGGCGGGAGGCUUAACACAUGCAAGUCGAGGGGCAGCAUAGGGUAGCAAUACUCUGAUGGCGACCGGCAAACGGGUGAGUAACGCGUAUGCAACCUACCCUGUACAGGGGGAUAACCCGGAGAAAUUCGGACUAAUAUCCCGUAAUAAUAUCCGGAGGCAUCUUUGGAUAUUUAAAGUUUCGACGGUACGGGAUGGGCAUGCGUAACAUUAGCUGGUUGGUAAGGUAACGGCUUACCAAGGCUAUGAUGUUUAGGGGUCCUGAGAGGGUGGUCCCCCACACUGGUACUGAGACACGGACCAGACUCCUACGGGAGGCAGCAGUGAGGAAUAUUGGUCAAUGGGCGCAAGCCUGAACCAGCCAUCCCGCGUGCAGGAAGACGGCCCUAUGGGUUGUAAACUGCUUUUCCAGGGAGAGAAACUUACGCACGUGUUGCGUGACUGACGGUACCCUGGGAAUAAGCAUCGGCUAACUCCGUG
rnacentral:rRNA from 1 species